rnacentral:rRNA from 1 species
UGCGAUUGGAUUGCACGUCUAAGCAGUAAGGCUGAGUAUUAGGCAAAUCCGGUACUCGUUAAGGCUGAGCUGUGAUGGGGAGAAGACAUUGUGUCUUCGAGUCGUUGAUUUCACACUGCCGAGAAAAGCCUCUAGAUAGAAAAUAGGUGCCCGUACCGCAAACCGACACAGGUAGUCAAGAUGAGAAUUCUAAGGUGAGCGAGCGAACUCUCGUUAAGGAACUCGGCAAAAUGACCCCGUAACUUCGGGAGAAGGGGUGCUCUUUAGGGUUAACGCCCAGAAGAGCCGCAGUGAAUAGGCCCAAGCGACUGUUUAUCAAAAACACAGGUCUCUGCUAAACCGUAAGGUGAUGUAUAGGGGCUGACGCCUGCCCGGUGCUGGAAGGUUAAGAGGAGUGGUUAGCUUCUGCGAAGCUACGAAUCGAAGCCCCAGUAAACGGCGGCCGUAACUAUAACGGUCCUAAGGUAGCGAAAUUCCUUGUCGGGUAAGUUCCGACCCGCACGAAAGGCGUAACGAUUUGGGCACUGUCUCAACGAGAGACUCGGUGAAAUCAUAGUACCUGUGAAGAUGCAGGUUACCCGCGACAGGACGGAAAG